CGCUCGGCGGCAGGCUUAACACAUGCAAGUCGAACGCCCCGCAAGGGGAGUGGCAGACGGGUGAGUAACGCGUGGGAAUCUACCUAGUUCUACGGAACAACAGUUGGAAACGACUGCUAAUACCGUAUACGCCCUAAGGGGGAAAGAUUUAUCGGAAUUAGAUGAGCCCGCGUAAGAUUAGCUAGUUGGUGGGGUAAUGGCCUACCAAGGCGACGAUCUUUAGCUGGUCUGAGAGGAUGAUCAGCCACACUGGGACUGAGACACGGCCCAGACUCCUACGGGAGGCAGCAGUGGGGAAUAUUGGACAAUGGGCGCAAGCCUGAUCCAGCCAUGCCGCGUGAGUGAUGAAGGCCUUAGGGUUGUAAAGCUCUUUCAGUGGGAAAGAUAAUGACGGUACCCACAGAAGAAGCCCCGGCUAACUUCGUGCCAGCCGCGGUAAUACGAAGGGGGCUAGCGUUGUUCGGAUUUACUGGGCGUAAAGCGCACGUAGGCGGAUUGUUAAGUCAGGGGUGAAAUCCUGGAGCUCAACUCCAGAACUGCCUUUGAUACUGGCAAUCUCGAGUCCGGAAGAGGUAAGUGGAACUCCUAGUGUAGAGGUGGAAUUCGUAGAUAUUAUGAAGAACGCCAGUGGCGAAGGCGGCUUACUGGUUCCGGAACUGAC
rnacentral:rRNA from 1 species